AUUGAACGCUGGCGGCAGGCCUAACACAUGCAAGUCGAACGCGUGGCGGACGGGUGAGUAAUUUCUGGGAAACUGCCUGAUGGAGGGGGAUAACUUCUGGAAACGGUAGCUAAUACCGCAUACCAUCAGAUGUGCCCAGGUGGGAUUAGCUAGUUGGUGGGGUAACGGAUCACCAAGGCGACGUUCCCUAGCUGGUCUGAGAGGUUGACCAGCAAAACUGGAACGGAGACCGGGUCCCGAGUCCUACGGGUGGCAGCAGUGAGUAAUAUUGGACAAUGGGCGCAAGCCUGAAGCAGCCAUGCCGGGUGUAUGAGGAAGGCCUUCGGGUUGUAAAGUACUUUCAGUGGAGAGGCGUAACCCGCAGAAGAAGCACCGGCUAACUCCGUGCCAGCCGCCGCGUAAUAC
rnacentral:rRNA from 1 species